rnacentral:rRNA from 1 species
UACGAAGGGGGCGAGCGUUGUUCGGAAUCACUGGGCGUAAAGGGCGCGUAGGCGGUGCCACAAGUCACUUGUGAAAUCUCCGGGCUUAACUCGGAGCCUGCAGGCGAAACUGUGGUGCUGGAGUAUGGGAGAGGUGCGUGGAAUUCCCGGUGUAGAGGUGAAAUUCGUAGAUAUCGGGAGGAACACCGGUGGCGAAGGCGGCGAUCUGGGUAGAUACUGACGCUGAGGUGCGAAAGCGUGGGGAGCAAACAGG